UACAGAGGUGGCAAGCGUUGUUCGGAAUUACUGGGCGUAAAGGGCGCGUAGGCGGUCUUGCAAGUCCUGUGUGAAAUCCCUCGGCUCAACUGAGGAACUGCACAGGAAACUGCUUGGCUUGAGUUCGGGAGAGGGAAGCGGAAUUCCGGGUGUAGCGGUGAAAUGCGUAGAUAUCGAGAGGAACACCUGCGGCGAAGGCGGGUUGCUGGGCCGACACUGACGCUGAUGCGCGAAAGCCAGGGGAGCGAACGGG
rnacentral:rRNA from 1 species